rnacentral:rRNA from 1 species
UACAGAGGCCUCGAGCGUUAGGCGGAAUCACUGGGCUUAAAGCGUGUGUAGGUGGAUGCCUAAGUACCUUGUGAAAUCCCACGGCUUAACCGUGGAAUGGCUGGGUAUACUGGGUGUCUUGAGCCACUCAGGGGCUACCGGAACAAAUGGUGGAGCGGUGAAAUGCGUAGAUAUCAUUUGGAACGCCAAUGGUGAAAACAGGUAGCUGGGGGUGUGCUGACACUGAGACACGAAAGCCAGGGGAGCAAACGGG